rnacentral:rRNA from 1 species
AUACUUAUUAGUAAAAUUUGCUCCAUGAAUAUAUAAAUAGCCGCAGAAUUUUUACUGUGCUAAGGUAGCAUAAUCAUUUACCUUUUAAUUAAAGGUCUGCAUGAAUGAUCCCACAAUUAGAUUACUUUUUUAUAAACAAUUAUCAAACUUAAAUUAAAAAUAAAAAUGUUUUUAUAAAAAAAAAAGACGAUAAGACCCUAAUGAACUUCACUACUGUUUAGCUGGGGAAGCUGGUUAAAUAUAAUUUUAAUUACUAAUAGAAACUAAAUUUCUAAUAAAAUUAAUCUGAAUAAGUUACCAUAGGGAUAACAGCGUAAUAUAAUUUUAAAGAUCGUAUUAAAAAUUAAGCUUACGACCUCGAUGUUGAAUUAGAAUCUCUACAAGCCGCAGCAGGCUAAAAGAAGGUCUGU